AUAAAGAACUAUUUAUUGUUUGUAAUAUAUCAAUUUUGUGUUACAAGGUAUGUUUUAACAAAGAUAUAUGUAAUACGUAAAAAGCUAAAGCAAUAUAAAUUAUUGAUUUUCUUUGAUUUUUCUGUAAGAAAAAGCUUAUUUGAUUUUAAGCUAAUUAGUGUACUUAUAUAAGUUUACUAUUGAUUGAAUUGUUUUUACAAAUUACUCGAGUUUUAAUAUUCAUAAAUUAUAGAUGUACAUACGUUAUAUUAUUAAUAAAAGUGAAAGAAUAGGAGGCACUUUUAUGAACAUAAAAAAAAUAUUUUGCUACCUAGGAUACGAUGUAAUCAUUGCCUCGCGAGUGAUUAAAUCUCUUAAAAGUGAUAAGAAAGCUUGACAUUAUGCGUACCAAUAGCAGUCUUGUUUUUUUUAAUAAUAGAUCACCCUGUAUCGCGUGGUUAUCAAUGAUUUAAAAAUAAUUUGUGUUUUCCACGUUAGAAUAAAAUCUAUGGAGAUUAUAUUAAAAGGCACGACUUAUUAAAAGUUUGUAAAUAAGAUAAUAUUUCCGAUAAAAGAGCAUCUUUAAAAUUUCUGACGGCUUAUUUUUUAGCCGUUAAUUCGAUAGUUUUUAGUCUAAGAGUUUUUGUCGUUCAUUUAUUCAGAACCAUUCUUAGGCAUUAGCAAAAACUGAUCGUUUGUUUACUAAAAACUUUAUGAUUAUAUUCGAAGCUUUUGUAGAAUAUAAUAUAUAUAUUAUAUACUAUCUUGUAUGUUGUAUUAAAGCACUUCAUAGGAGUAUUUUCUUAUAUAUAUAAUAACCAUGUUGUUUGAUAAUUGCAUUUGAUGUAACGCGAUAUUUUUUUUGUAUUUGUUCCACUUUCUUAAACCAAGCGAAAUUUUAAUGACUUAGAAAUAUGAGAAAUAUGAUAAAUUCAUUCUUGCCUUCAAUAUCAGUUUGCAUAAGCACACAUUCUUAAGGCCAGGAGUUUGAAAAGGGCAGAAGGGUUAUUUGGAGGAAUUAUUUUCUCAAACGAUAAAGAAAAGGAACAAAAUAAUGAAACAAGAAAGGAGGAACGACAAUGGAAGUCUAUCUGCAAAAAUAUGAUUUUUAAUUCACUCAACAAAAUGAUAUCAAAACAUCAGAAACGCGAUUAGAAGUAAUAUUACGAAAUCUUGUUGAAAGAAAAUACAUAACAUAAUAUCGUAACAAAAAAUAAAAACAGAAUCAAUUUACUACAAUCCGCUCCAGAAUCGUAGACCAUGUACUUCUCCAUUUCGUCAACAGUUAAACAGUCCCUCUAAACGAAAGCUCACAAAGGCUUAUCGCUUUGACUAAGAAUAUAAAUUAUGAUUAUAGUGGCCAUUGGCAAUACCCCUUACACUGUACAAUCUAACAUAAAACUACAACGACGGGCAAUAUCAUCGACAAAUGUCGAUAUAUAGCCUGGGUUCUAAUUAGUACUCAAAUUAAAUGCGUUUUUCGCAAAAAAAAUAAUAAUUAAAUUAUUAAUUCCUCCUGCCGCUAGAAUACCACAAUAAUCUAAUCUCAUCGAAUAGUUUACGAUUAAGCGUAAUAUUUCGCCGAUAGAUUACUUUAGCGGCGUAUUGUAUUUUUGUGGUUUUUUUUUUUUAAUAUUAUAAGCUUAGUCCUCCUCUCUUUCUUUUCUAUUUUUUUAAA